GGCGGGUAGAAUCCUUUGC
rnacentral:snRNA from 1 species